AUAUCGAUACCUAUAAUAAGAUAAGAGGAAAGAGUAAAAAAGAAAAGGAAAAGAAUCGAAAUGUUUCUGAUGAAACGGAAGAUAUUAUAGAUGGACUAGAUACUAAUAACAAUCUCUUUGCCUUAAAAUAAACGUAUCUCAUUCGAUUCGUCAAAAUAUAUAUUUCUACAUACGUGUGUGUGUUAUAUAUAUAUAUACUAUACGUGUAUAUAUAUAUAUAUAUAUAUAUACACACACUCUAAUCUAUAGAUAUGCGUUUCUCCGUUUGACACGACUCGUUCUUCUCGUAGUAAAAAUAUUUUUUGGGUUUCAUCUUUGGGCGAUCAUCGUUACUCUAUGCAAAGGUAGUUAAAAAAUAAUUCGAACCUUGCUCGCGGCAACGUGGAAAAUUGGACAUCCUGUUAUGCGCGUCCCUUCGAUCAGGCCAUUUCAGAGAUUGCAGCGCCCCUGAACGACAAGAGCAUCACUCUUUUACAUUUGUUUUCCUUUAGCUUUGUUUUCUCUCGAUUCGUUGAUAGAUCAACGUACGUUCGAUGUUUCGUGCGACAGAUUUCGUUCUCUCCCAUGACGACUCACACGCGUUACAAAAAUAAAUGGUAAUUUGUUAGCUACUCGAACCGGAGGACUCGGAUUUUUCGCUUGUCCGCGUUCGCGCGGUUUCGUUAUUUCAACAUCGAGAUCACUUUGAAAAAAUAGACUCCGUGCGAGGAUUAAAACGUGAAUAAAUUUUGACAAAAAUACGCUCUAUGCUUGUAAAAAGUUGAAUACGAGAAAAAAGUAGGAAGG